rnacentral:rRNA from 1 species
CCCUUAGAUGUUCUGGGCCGCACGCGCGCUACACUGAUGCAUUCAACGAGCCUAUCCUUGACCGACAGGUCCGGGUAAUCUUUGAAUCUGCAUCGUGACGGGGAUAGAUUAUUGCAAUUAUUAAUCUUCAACGAGGAAUGCCUAGUAGGCGCAAGUCAUCAGCUUGCGUCGAUUACGUCCCUGCCCUUUGUACACACCGCCCGUCGCUCCUACCGAUUGGGUGUGCUGGUGAAAUGUUCGGAUCGGCCGUUUGUCGCGGUUUCCGCGUCAUGUGGCUGAGAAGUUCAUUAAACCCUCCCACCUAGAGAAAGGAGAAGUCGUAACA